rnacentral:piRNA from 1 species
UUCAUUCACUGACAGCAACCCCAGUGGGUGU